rnacentral:rRNA from 1 species
GACGAACGCUGGCGGCGUGCCUAAUACAUGCAAGUAGAACGCUGAAGGAGGAGCUUGCUUCUCUGGAUGAGUUGCGAACGGGUGAGUAACGCGUAGGUAACCUGCCUGGUAGCGGGGGAUAACUAUUGGAAACGAUAGCUAAUACCGCAUAAUAGUAGAUGUUGCAUGACAUUUGCUUAAAAGGUGCAAUUGCAUCACUACCAGAUGGCCCUGCGUUGUAUUAGCUAGUUGGUGAGGUAACGGCUCACCAAGGCGACGAUACAUAGCCGACCAGAGAGGGUGAUCGGCCACACUGGGACGGGGACACGGCCCAGACUCCUACGGGAGGCAGCCGUAGGGAAUCUUCGGCAAUGGAAGGAAGGCUGACCGAGCAACGCCGCGUGAGUGAAGAAUGUUUUCGGAUCGUAAAGCUCUGUUGUAAGAGAAGAACGAGUGUGAGAGUGGAAAGUUCACACUGUGACGGUAUCUUACCAGAAAGGGACGGCUAACUACGUG